rnacentral:rRNA from 1 species
UGGUACAAUGUGAUGUACCUAGUAAUAUUAGUGAUUAAUAUGAGGCUAAUCGAGUUAGUUAAAAUUCUAAGUAUAUAUGUGAUUAUGACAAUAUGUGCUUAUUUCUUGACCAAGUCACGUGCCAGCCGUCGCGGUAAUACGUGGAAGAUCAGUGUUAUUCAUCUUUAUCAGGUUUAAAGGGUACCUAGACGGUUAAUUAAGCUUUAGUAGGAACUAAUUAACUAGAGUUUAAUGUAAGAAUGAUUGAGUACGGUGAGUGUAGAGAUAAAAUUCUGUCAUACCACUUAGGAACUGGUAAAAGCGAAGGCAACUUUCUAUGUAAAAACUGACGUUAAGGGACGAAGGCUCGUAUCAAAUAACAGGAUUAGAUACCCCAGCAUUGUGGGCAGACAAUGAUGAGUGUCAUAUGCAAGAGAUAAAAAAAAAUAUUUUGUGUAUAAAUGAAAGUGUAAGCACUCCACCUCAAGAGUAACGUGGCAACAUGGGAACUGAAAUCAUUAGACCGUUUCUGAAACUCGUAGUGAAGUAUGUUGUUUAAUUAGAUGGUGCACAAAUAACCUUACCACAAUUUGUAUAACUAUAGUACAUAAUAAUAAUAUAGUUACAAGCGUUGCACGGCUGUCUUUAGUCUAUGUUGUGAAACUGUGGUUAGAUCCAUUAAAUAGACGUAAACCCUUACUUUAUUUAUUAUAAAGUAGUUCGCCGCUAUAUUGGUAGUGAUAUAAGGGACUAGGACAAGUCAUCAUGACCUGAACAUUGU